rnacentral:rRNA from 1 species
CCUACGGGCGGCAGCAGUGGGGAAUAGUGGGCAAUGGGCGCAAGCCUGACCCAGCAACGCCGCGUGAAGGAAGAAGGCUUUCGGGUUGUAAACUUCUUUUCUGAGGGACGAAGAAAGUGACGGUACCUCAGGAAUAAGCCACGGCUAACUACGUGCCAGCCGCCGCGGUAAUACGUAGGUGGCAAGCGGUAUCCGGAGUUAUUGGGUGUAAAGGGCGUGUAGGCGGGAAAGCAAGGCAGAUGUGAAAACUCAGGACUCAACUCUGAGCCUGCAUUUGAAACUGUUUUUCUUGAGUGCUGGAGAGGCAAUCGGAAUUCCGUGUGUAGCGGUGAAAUGCGUAGAUAUACGGAGGAACACCAGUGGCGAAGGCGGAUUGCUGGACAGUAACUGACGCUGAGGCGCGAAAGCGUGGGGAGCAAACAGGAUUAGAUACCCCUGUAGUC